rnacentral:rRNA from 1 species
AUUGAACGCUGGCGGCAGGCCUAACACAUGCAAGUCGAGCGAGCGGCGGACGGGUGAGUAAUGUAUGGGGACUGCCCGAUAGAGGGGGAUAACUACUGGAAACGGUGGCUAAUACCGCAUACUGUCUGAUCAUCCAUAUGGGAUUAGCUAGUAGGUAAGGUAAUGGCUUACCUAGGCGACGAACCCUAGCUGGUAUGAGAGGAUGAUCAGCUAAACUGGGACUGAGACACGGCCCAGAACCCUACGGAGGCAUCAGGGGGGAAUAUUGCGCAAUGGGCGCAAGCCUGAUACAGCCAUGCCGCGUGUAUGAAGAAGGCCCUAGGGUUGUAAAGUACGUUCAGUCGGGAGGCGUUACCGACAGAAGAAGCACCGGCUAACUCCGUGCCAGCAGCCGCGGUAAUAC